rnacentral:rRNA from 1 species
CCAGACUCCUACGGGAGGCAGCAGUGGGGAAUAUUGCACAAUGGGGGAAACCCUGAUGCAGCGACGCCGCGUGAGCGAUGAAGUAUUUCGGUAUGUAAAGCUCUAUCAGCAGGGAAGAAAAUGACGGUACCUGACUAAGAAGCCCCGGCUAACUACGUGCCAGCAGCCGCGGUAAUACGUAGGGGGCAAGCGUUAUCCGGAUUUACUGGGUGUAAAGGGCGUGUAGCCGGGCCGGCAAGUCAGAUGUGAAAUCCCAAGGCUCAACCUUGGAACUGCAUUUGAAACUGUUGGUCUUGAGUAUCGGAGAGGCAGGCGGAAUUCCUAGUGUAGCGGUGAAAUGCGUAGAUAUUAGGAGGAACACCAGUGGCGAAGGCGGCCUACUGGACGGUGACUGACGCUGAGGCUCGAAAGCGUGGGGAGCAAACAGGAUUAGAUACCCGGGUAGA